rnacentral:rRNA from 1 species
UACGGAGGGAGCUAGCGUUGUUCGGAAUUACUGGGCGUAAAGCGCACGUAGGCGCCUAUUCAAGUCAGAGGUGAAAGCCCAGGGCUCAACCUUGGAACUGCCUUUGAAACUAGAUAGCUAGAAUCCUGGAGAGGCGAGUGGAAUUCCGAGUGUAGAGGUGAAAUUCGUAGAUAUUCGGAAGAACACCAGUGGCGAAGGCGACUCGCUGGACAGGUAUUGACGCUGAGGUGCGAAAGCGUGGGGAGCAAACAGG